GGGUACACGAGCGGCGAACGGGUGAGUAACACGUGGGUGAUCUGCCUUGCACUUCGGGAUAAGCCUGGGAAACUGGGUCUAAUACCGGAUAUGACCACGAGAUGCAUGUCUUGUGGUGGAAAGAUUUAUCGGUGCGAGAUGGGCCCGCGGCCUAUCAGCUUGUUGGUGAGGUAACGGCUCACCAAGGCGACGACGGGUAGCCGACCUGAGAGGGUGACCGGCCACACUGGGACUGAGACACGGCCCAGACUCCUACGGGAGGCAGCAGUGGGGAAUAUUGCACAAUGGGCGAAAGCCUGAUGCAGCGACGCCGCGUGCGGGAUGACGGCCUUCGGGUUGUAAACCGCUUUUGACAGGGACGAAGCGCAAGUGACUGUACCUGUAGAAUAAGGACCGGCCAACUACGUGCCAGCAGCCGCGGUAAUACGUAGGGUCCGAGCGUUGUCCGGAAUUACUGGGCGUAAAGAGCUUGUAGGCGGUUCGUCGCGUCGUUUGUGAAAACUUGGGGCUCAACCUUAAGCUUGCAGGCGAUACGGGCGGACUAGAGUACUUCAGGGGAGACUGGAAUUCCUGGUGUAGCGGUGAAAUGCGCAGAUAUCAGGAGGAACACCGGUGGCGAAGGCGGGUCUCUGGGAAGUAACUGACGCUGAGAAGCGAAAGCAUGGGUAGCAAACAGGAUUAGAUACCCUGGUAGUCCAUGCCGUAAACGGUGGGUACUAGGUGUGGGGCUCCUUCCACGGACUCCGUGCCGUAGCUAACGCAUUAAGUACCCCGCCUGGGGAGUACGGCCGCAAGGCUAAAACUCAAAGAAAUUGACGGGGGCCCGCACAAGCGGCGGAGCAUGUGGAUUAAUUCGAUGCAACGCGAAGAACCUUACCUGGGUUUGACAUACACCGGAAACCUGCAGAGAUGUAGGCCCCCUUGUGGUCGGUGUACAGGUGGUGCAUGGCUGUCGUCAGCUCGUGUCGUGAGAUGUUGGGUUAAGUCCCGCAACGAGCGCAACCCUUAUCUUAUGUUGCCAGCGCGUAAUGGCGGGGACUCGUGAGAGACUGCCGGGGUCAACUCGGAGGAAGGUGGGGACGACGUCAAGUCAUCAUGCCCCUUAUGUCCAGGGCUUCACACAUGCUACAAUGGCCGGUACAGAGGGCUGCGAUACCGCGAGGUGGAGCGAAUCCCUUAAAGCCGGUCUCAGUUCGGAUCGGGGUCUGCAACUCGACCCCGUGAAGUUGGAGUCGCUAGUAAUCGCAGAUCAGCAACGCUGCGGUGAAUACGUUCCCGGGCCUUGUACACACCGCCCGUCACGUCAUGAAAGUCGGUAAC
rnacentral:rRNA from 1 species